GUUUCUUUGUGGUAGUUCUCUUUUUUUCACAUCAUUUUGGACCGUUACAACCACCAUAUCUGUGUCUGAAAAGGUUGGAAAAGCUAGAGCAGAUAAUAAAUAACUAACACUCAACAAGCUUAAGGACAAAAGUUGCCAA